rnacentral:rRNA from 1 species
GUCAGUGGCAGACGGGUGAGUAACACGUGGGAACGUACCUUUUGGUUCGGAACAACUGAGGGAAACUUCAGCUAAUACCGGAUAAGCCCUUACGGGGAAAGAUUUAUCGCCGAAAGAUCGGCCCGCGUCUGAUUAGCUAGUUGGUGAGGUAAUGGCUCACCAAGGCGACGAUCAGUAGCUGGUCUGAGAGGAUGAUCAGCCACAUUGGGACUGAGACACGGCCCAAACUCCUACGGGAGGCAGCAGUGGGGAAUAUUGGACAAUGGGCGCAAGCCUGAUCCAGCCAUGCCGCGUGAGUGAUGAAGGCCCUAGGGUUGUAAAGCUCUUUUGUGCGGGAAGAUAAUGACGGUACCGCAAGAAUAAGCCCCGGCUAACUUCGUGCCAGCAGCCGCGGUAAUACGAAGGGGGCUAGCGUUGCUCGGAAUCACUGGGCGUAAAGGGUGCGUAGGCGGGUUUCUAAGUCAGAGGUGAAAGCCUGGAGCUCAACUCCAGAACUGCCUUUGAUACUGGAAGUCUUGAGUAUGGGAGAGGUGAGUGGAACUGCGAGUGUAGAGGUGAAAUUCGUAGAUAUUCGCAAGAACACCAGUGGCGAAGGCGGCUCACUGGCCCAUAACUGACGCUGAGGCACGAAAGCGUGGGGAGCAAACAGG